CCUACGGGAGGCAGCAGUGGGGAAUAUUGGACAAUGGGCGAAAGCCUGAUCCAGCCAUGCCGCGUGUGUGAAGAAGGCCUUCGGGUUGUAAAGCACUUUCAGUGGGGAAGAAAGCCUUGGGGCUAAUACCCUCGAGGAAGGACAUCACCCACAGAAGAAGCACCGGCUAACUCCGUGCCAGCAGCCGCGGUAAUACGGAGGGUGCGAGCGUUAAUCGGAAUUACUGGGCGUAAAGCGCGCGUAGGCGGUCUGAUAAGCCGGUUGUGAAAGCCCCGGGCUCAACCUGGGAACGGCAUCCGGAACUGUCAGGCUAGAGUGCAGGAGAGGAAGGUAGAAUUCCCGGUGUAGCGGUGAAAUGCGUAGAGAUCGGGAGGAAUACCAGUGGCGAAGGCGGCCUUCUGGACUGACACUGACGCUGAGGUGCGAAAGCGUGGGUAGCAAACAGGAUUAGAUACCCCGGAGUC
rnacentral:rRNA from 1 species